GAUGAACGCUGGCGGCGCGCCUAACACAUGCAAGUCGAACGAUUAAAGCACCUUCGGGUGUGUAUAAAGUGGCGAACGGCUGAGUAACACGUGGGCAACCUGCCCCUUUCAUUGGGAUAGCCACGGGAAACCGUGGAUAAUACCGAAUACUUCGAGACUUCCGCAUGGAAGACUCGAGAAAGCUCCGGCGGAGAGGGAUGGGCCCGCGGCCUGUUAGCUUGUUGGUGGGGUAACGGCCUACCAAGGCAAUGAUGGGUAGCUGGGUUGAGAGACCGACCAGCCAGAUUGGGACUGAGACACGGCCCAGACUCCUACGGGAGGCAGCAGUGGGGAAUCUGGCACAAUGGGCGAAAGCCUGAUGCAGCGACGCCGCGUGCGGGAUGAAGGCCUUCGGGUUGUAAACCGCUUUCAGCAGGGACGAGGCGAAAGUGACGGUACCUGCAGAAGAAGCCCCGGCUAACUACGU
rnacentral:rRNA from 1 species